ensembl:lncRNA
ACCCACCCACCCUGGCUCGUUGUGACAUGUGACUUUAGAUUGCUUUAUGGUGGUCAUUCAUGCUAAGCAGCAUUUUUUUUUUUUAGUCUUCAAAAUACCCAAGAGUCAAAAGAAGUUCCGCAUUCCACAUAAGUUCACAAGUCCAAGUAUCAUCCAUGUGUUUUGGUAUGAGUUCUUUUACAGUUGGUUGAAGAGAUGACGACACUGUCUAUAACAACAAUAAAUUUGUUUACAAGUUCACUUAUGCAACCAAAGCAGAUGAUGAUAAGAUGCUCCUUAUUUUUGCUUAAUCCGUAGUCAUAUUGAUGGCAGAAACUGUGAAAGGAAGGCUUUUAGUUACUUUUUCCUUUUGCACUUUUCCGGAAUGUAGCCCCCAUCCCUACCCAUUGAAAGGGAUAUUACUGAGUCCAGACAAUCCCGCACAUUAAAAGCUAACGUUAGUAACACUUUAGCUGUGUCUGAUGCCCAAUUUAGUUUUAAUGAAAACAAAACAAACAAAAAACAAAAACAAAAAACUCCCAGACCUCUUCAACCUGGCUCCAUCUACUCUUUUCCUUUUUCUGUUUCCUUCUCCCAUUUGUGGACGUCAACAUUGGCCUGCCAAGCAAAAUACAGUCUAAUACUUUAAAAGUAUGUAUGGGCUACAAUGAAUGAGCUCCCUCAUAGCAAAUUGUGACUUAAGCUUUAAGGCAACUUGGAUAAAAAGAUCACAAUGAGUAAACUAAUAUAUUUCAUUAUUAUCUAACUCAAGGCUUAGCUGAAAACCAUUUAGAUGAAAAUACAUUUUCAGAAACAUUUAACAAGUUGAUACCUCUUCUCAACAUUGUUUAGUUAUUGGAACUAUAUUAAAGUGAAGACCAAGCAGUCCCAAUUUAGGUUCCAGAUAGCAGUCAUGUUCUUAGGCCCAAUUGAGAACAAAGGUAAGCUGCUCCUUAGACAUAGGUUUGACCUUUUCCUUCACUCUUCCUCCUGUCCCACCCUCUGUGAGUGAAAAAAAAAAGCAGAAAAGGUCAAAUCACGGUCAGCUCUCCUUGUAGAGGCAUUUUUUUCAAAGUUCUUUUGAUAGUCUUUCUUUCCUCCAAUUUUCUGAUUGUUUCCAAUUUUAUCAUUUUCCAAUUUUACGCAAGAAUGUUAAAAUUUUAUGUUAUUUUCAUCCACUGGCAUUAUUUUACUGUAGCAAGCCGCCUUGAGUAUAUUUUGUACAGUAAGGAAAACAUUUCUAAAAUUACUGUAUGCUAUCUGAUUCUAUCAAAGAGACCUUUUCAGGCAGUUUAUGCUUUGGCAUGUUUAAAAGGUAAAAAGCUGAAGACAGACAAAAUUUGCAGAUCUAUUUCAAAGCCUGCUGCAGUUCAAGAAUGGCUUAUUUCCCCAGGGAUAAUACUAAGGAGAUAGGAGUUGGGGGACUAGGUGGCUAUCAUCCUUCCUGACCAUUAGUGGUCACGGUCAUAGGUAAAAUAAGCCAUGGACUAGAAUAAUGAAGAGGUUUUUGUUUUUUUGGUUUUUUUUUUUUUAGCAGAGGGCUCACAACUUUAGGAGCAGGCUUACUACAAAACCCAGCUUCCUGUUCGUUGUAGUGGCCAGAGAAGGGGGUGAGGAGUUAAGCUGCAUGUUACUUGGGGACUAAGUCAUGCCACCCAAAAAGUAGGCCCAAAGUUCAGCAGUUCCCUGGGAAGGGAUGGUAUUGGUUUGUUUGUUUGUUUGUUUGUUUGUUUGUUUGUUUAUUUAUUUAUUUCACAUCUCAGGAGCCAAAUGAAGGCCCAAGAAGAGCAUUAGAUGCAAAUACUUGUAGAAUAGAUGAAAAAAAUGAAUGAAUAGUAACGUUCCUCCUAUAUUCUAACCUGAGUCAAUUAAAAAGCAAAUGUUUUUUCAGUCUAGCAAAUGUUUGAGCUAUUAUUUCUCUUUAAUGAAGAACAUCACUCUGCUUUUCAAGGCAUCUGUAAGUCACACACUAAGUGCCUUUUGGAACAGAUGUGUUUCAUUUAGCAUCCAGUAACAUCUUUUGCAAUGUGUGCAAUUCAAGAAAUAGAGGCCCCCUUUUAUUUCCAUGCUACCAUCUUGAGUUUUUUCAGCUAAAGUGUGUUACUGCUGUCCCAUCAUAAGCUAUUGAGAUACAGUACACUUUGGGUUAUGUCCUUUAAAUGUCCUCAUUCUGUUAGUACUUCGAACUGCACUUUGUUCAGAUUUAAGUUUUUAUUAAGUAUGAUGAGUGCAAAAGUAUUUUCUUAUUGCUCACAUGUCUCCUUGACUCUGAGCCAGGCACCGAGCAAAUAAAUACCUUUGAAAUCAUUAAUUCAUCUUGAUUCUCCUUUGAAACACUUCAACUGUAAGAAAAGGAGAAUGUUUAACUAAUGAAUUAAAGGACAGACUUUAAAUUCCCUUAUCCUGGCUUUAAACUAGGCCAAUGAACAAAUGACCUUUGGAGCUUCCUUAGCUAGGGAUGUCUCCAUUAUGUUGAAUGAAUCAUGGCCUUCAUUUGAUUUUCAAAAUCUCUAGGUCAAGUCAAUGGGUCUUCUAGACCAGACCUAUUUAGCUAAUUCAUCAAGCAUAGCACCUCCAAGCAAGCAGCCACUAAAAUAUCAUUUACUCAGUAAUCAGUUACAUUCUAUAGGCUGGUCGUGCGUACACACAUCCAUAAUCUCAGCACUUGAGAGGCUGUAACAGGAGAUUCACCAACUAGAACCAGCCUGGGCUGUACAAUGAAACCAUGUCUUAGUGUCUCCUCCUCAGCUGAUUGGUGAUCUGUACUGCUCUCUAGGUCCACCUCACAUUGUAGCUUUAGGACCUAGAUUAGCAUAUGCUAUAUAAACAACGUUUUAUUAGAUAUUACAGUUUGAAUGUGAAAUGUCCUCCACAAGCUUAUGCUCUGGGUGUUUGGUCCUCACCCAGUCCUCUAUUUUGGCAGGUUCUGGAUCACAUCUGAUGCUCUGUCCUUCUGUUCCCUGAUAUCCAGGCCUGAUUCUGGCCCUUUCUUUUCACACCUUUACUGGCAGGAUAGUUCUAAUUCAUCUCCAGCAGCAGUAUUCAACAUCUAAGAAACUGGAUGGAAAACAGCAACUAGAACUUUCCCCCCAUCUCUUCAGUCAAGCCAGCAGGAAAGUAUCCUUUUAGACAGGAUAAUCCACUUAGCACACUGCCAUAUACAAAUCCAUUUUUUUUUGUUGUUUUCAUUUCAUCAUUGAAGUUAAGUACAGUUUAAGUCUAGAUCUCACAUGUCCUGUGAGUACUGCACGAGAGAAAGCAAUCUGUUUGCACAGCACAUAGCACAGUGAAAUGUAUAUAUUAGGUGAUAAGCAUUCUGAGUAAGUGUUAUCCAUGAAGAAACUCAGAAAGUUAUCACUGUCCAUGGAUGAAGCUGACAGUUAGGUACUGACUUUAUAGAACUGCAGACUUCAUAAAGCCCCACACAGAUCUUUGUUGUGGGUAUAUAAUGUUAUGGACAAUAGUAAUGAUAAUGAAUUUUUUGUAAUCCCAGUGUCUGGAGAUAAAAGCAAAUAAUUGACUACUGGGAAUGUAUGGCAGCUUACAAAUUAUAAUUAACCUUGCACAUAAUUUCUUUAGAUACAUGGGACACUAAGGAUGCUUUGUCUUUGCAUCUCAGUGCCUAGAAAGGACAGUUUUGUAAUAAAUGACUGCCACUCAGUCUUGCAUUCAUCCGAAGCUGAAUGUCUCAUAUAUUCACAGUGCUCAACAGUUAUUUAUUUGCUUUGUUUGCACAGUGUAAUAAAUGUGACAGAAUUUUAAAAGCCUGGAAAUUGGUACCAAACAAGAAAAUGAAUUGUUACAUUUAUAUGGUACCCCAAAGUUCAUAAAAUGCCAACAUACACAUGACUUUCAGCUUUGGGCACACCAAAAUGUAAAUGUGUAUCUCUCCUGUGCCCACAAGAAGGAAUAUACCAGGGGCUGGAGAGAUGGCUCAGCUGUUAAGAGCACUGACUGCUCUUCCAGAGAAUCUGAGUUCAAGUCCCAGCAACCACAAGCAUCUGUAAUGAGAUCUGGUGCCCUCUUCUGGCAUGCAGGCAUAAAUGCAGGCAGAACACUGUAUACAUGAUAAAUAAAUAAAUCUUCAUUUAAAGAAAGAAUAUACCAUAUAUAGAUAAUAAAUACUGAUAUAUUCAUUCAGCAGGCAUUUAACCUCACUGUGUUCCAGGGCUAGCUUCAAAUGUCGAGGCUCAAGUGGUCCUGCUGCUUGCUUCAGCUGCCUGAACUCAGAGCAUAUGCUACCACACCCAGCUUGUUAACUAUUUAUACUAUUUCUCAUUGUAGGCCAAGAAUACAAGGAGAAUUUUGUAGAGACCAUGCCUAUUUUGUAGGCAGUUUUAUUUCUGUAGGAAAUAUGUAAUGUUUUGCACUCCUGUAGUACUUUAUGGCUAAGAAAGUACACACAGCCAUAACAUUUUCCUCUAUUACCUGCGCAAAUGUUCUUGUAUUAGCUUGCCCUCAUCACUUGACUGAUUCAAUUAAGCAUUAUCUCAUUCCUUGUAAAUAAAUAGUGUAGAAUGUAAACAUUCUUAUUUCGUGGCAGAGUUACUCAAGACAAUUUAUCUUGUAUUUCAUGUAAACACAAAACCUAACACAUAGGAGGUAGUUAAUAUUCAUUCAUUCAUGCACAUAGAGCUAUUGACAGCUGCAUACUGUGCUCUUCUUUUAAAAUGUUCCACUUUCUUAUCCCUGGUGAUGAGCAUGGUAUUUUGCAAUAGGGGAGUCACUUGUAUUUGUGGCAUAUUUUGUAAUUUAAAAUCAGUUUCCAUGUGUUUUCUUUUUUGCUAUCUGGUAUAAUGUAUUUUACUGAAAAUCACCAAAGCAAUAGAAACACAUUGGCCCUAAGUAUAUAGAUUAUGCUUCAUUCAAGCCAUAUUAUAUUUAUAUUUUUAACAAAGCAUGUUUUUACUCAUUAUUCCUACAGCAAUCUUUGUACCCAUAGCACACAGGCCAAUAGAAUGCAUGUACUAGGUAAUAUGCAUUCAUUCAACACUGACUUACAAGUUUUAGUGUGCUUUAUGGUUUACAAAGUGUAUUUAUUUACUCAUUUUUAUGUACCUGGUAACAUCUUCAUGUUACCUGGAAGUGACCACAGUUAAGCAUCACAUCCUUAGUGCUCAGCACAAAGAUAGGCAUAGAGAAGGAAAGUACUGUUAUUCAGACAUGUUCCCUGGCAUUUAUAUGAGGGCUUGGUCAAGUCCAGGCAACCGGCCAGUGAGGGAUUCUUACCUUCUGAAAAGGUAAGAGAAUAUGCGACUGAGACCAACCGCCCACAAAGCUUCAGGUAUUUACAGUCUGACUCCUUACAGGAAAAACUCAAAUUACAUUUUCAAAUGUUCAGUAUGCAUGGCUGCCAAUGUGCUUUGAGUAUGUUACUUUUUUCUCCUGUGUUUGUAUCAGUCAUUUAAGUUCUCUCUUAAAGGGGGAGGAGGGGUAGGAGAAACAUGAAGCCUGUUAAACAGUCCCAAAUUCUCUCAUCAUUAAUCCUAAAGGUGGGUGUUAAACCCAGGAGUAGGUUCACUGUCCUGCACCAAAUUACUUGGCCACCACAAAGAGCAGGGAAUUCAAACUUCAGUCUGUCCCAAACCUAAUCACUGCUAUCAUUAAUAGAAAUCCAUUUCCUGCUCACCUAAGCCCAAAGAAGGAAGGUAAUGCUGGCUGGUCCUUCUCAGAAGGUCGGCACAUUUGCAUAUUGCUUGUCUAAUUCUUCUCAUUGGUCUGGAGUAGGUCUUCAUAUUUUCUCUAGAUAGCCUGAUACUGUUCUCCCCUAACAGUCUGAUGCUUUCCUUUCUCAUAGCCUAGGGCUUCUGAGUUAUGGAGGAUGGAAGUACAGUAUCUGUAUGGAUGCUUGCUUCUAGGGGAAUAUCAAAAGUCAGACUAGAUACCACUGGCUGGAUUUUGUUCUCUCUCUCAAGUGGAGCAGAUGUGAAGAGAAAUGGAAGUUUUAAAACAUCAAAAAUUUAACAAAUGGCUAAAUCAAGUUUAAAACAGACUAAAGAUUGACCCCUGUACAAUACUGUCAUUCUAAAAGCUUGUUUCUUUAUAGUAAAUGACACCAUUGAAAAGUACAUCUCAAGCAAAUCUGGCUUAAAUGGAAAUCUAAGAAACAGAGGGAGUGCUGAUAAUGUCCCAGGAAAAGGGGGAUCUCAUCUUCAGAUUUCCCCUGGUCUUGGGGUUCUAUUCCCCCCAGAGUUUUAGGCCAUAGGCCUCCAAUUUCUAGCCUUUAUCUCUUAGACCUUCUGUCCAUAUAGGCUUGAGUCCUUAGAUCUUGGGCUUGGACUUAGCUUAGGUUUUGUGUCUUAUGACACAGGUCUCAGUUCUUAGACUUCACGUGAGUUCUGUAGAAGCAGCCCCUCUCUUUGAGUUAUGAGCAUUCUGUCCAGCCAGCCAGCUCAUACAGGCCUUCUGUGUAUCUUGGUCUUCAAGUCAAGUCACAAAACAUGUCUUCCACUUUGAGCCUUUUCAUGUGGUCAUUUCAGUUCUACUUCCAUCCUGACGGGAGUGCUGUCAGAUUAUUUCGCAUGUCAGUCUGGCAUGAAGAACAGCCACUGGCAACAUUCAGCACCUAUUGGGAAGGGGCUAAGAAGACUCUCUGUGACACAUGACACACACAUACACAAAGAAAUACCCAAGAAAAGAUUAGAGUAAGGGAGGUAGACAGAGACUGAAAUGCUCAGAGUGAGUAGUAGAAAGGGGAAUGUUAAAGAGAAAGAAACCCAAGUAAAUACAAAGCAAUGGAUUAAUGCAGAGAUCACAAAUACCAAAAAGACACAGCUACAAAGGAAAAAAGAGAAAACAGCCCAAAAAAAGCAGAAAGCAGAUGCAAUAAAGAGAACCAUGUGCUAAGAAUGUAACAGCAGAAAGAAAAAUGUGAAAUGUUACGUCAAAGGGCUGACAAACAUCACACCGAAAGUGCAUACAGCGUGUGACCAAAAGGGGGCAUGAGAGGCAGAAAGAGUGAAAGAAGAGCUAACAGAAAUGGCAACCAGAUAGAAAAAAAGAGCCAUAUCUAACCAAAACAAGGCACAGAUCACACAGGCACCAGAGGUGAAAACAAGACAAAACUCUACAAGGAAAAAGUUAGCAGAGAAAUUAGCAUGGAAAUAAGUAAGAUACACUGUAGAUUAGAGGAGGAAAAGACACACAAGGAAGACACAGACAUCAAAGCAAGGAAGAAAGAGAUACACAGCAAGGAAGAAAGACAUACGCAGCAAGGAAGAAAGACAUACGCGGCAAGGAAGAAAGACAUACACGGCAAGAGAGAAAGACAUACACGGCAAGGAAGAAAGACAUACACGGCAAGGGAGAAAGACAUACAUGGCAAGGAAGAAAGAGAUACACAGAAGAAAGACAUACACGGCAAGGAAGAAAGACAUACACGGCAAGAGAGAAAGACAUGCACGGCAAGGAAGAAAGACAUACACGGCAAGGGAGAAAGACAUACAUGGCAAGGAAGAAAGACAUACACGGCAAGGGAGAAAGACAUACAUGGCAAGGAAGAAAGACAUACACGGCAAGGGAGAAAGAGAUACACGGCAAGGAAGAAAGAGAUACACAGCAAGAAAGACAUACACGGCAAGAGAGAAAGACAUGCACGGCAAGGAAGAAAGACAUACACGGCAAGGAAGAAACAUACAAAGCAAGAAAGAAACACAAAGCAAGGAAGAAACACAUACAAAACAAGGAAGAAAUGAUUACAUCAAAGAAAAACUAGACACACAAAGCUAGGAAGAAAGACACAUAAAGCAAGGAAGAAAUGGAUACAUCAAAAAAUUAAGACACACAAAGCUAGGAAGAAAUAGAUAUAAUGAAUAAGAAUUAGACACAUAAAGCAAGGAAGAAACAGAUGCAUAGAACAAUGAGGAAAUAGACAUACAACACAAUGCACA